rnacentral:rRNA from 1 species
UUAUUGGAGAGUUUGAUCCUGGCUCAGGAUGAACGCUGGCGGCGUGCCUAAUACAUGCAAGUCGAGCGAAUGGAUUAAGAGCUUGCUCUUAUGAAGUUAGCGGCGGACGGGUGAGUAACACGUGGGUAACCUGCCCAUAAGACUGGGAUAACUCCGGGAAACCGGGG